AACGAACGCUGGCGGCAGGCCUAACACAUGCAAGUCGAGCGCGCCCUUCGGGGUGAGCGGCGGACGGGUGAGUAACGCGUGGGAACGUGCCCUUCUCUGCGGAAUAGCCUCGGGAAACUGAGAGUAAUACCGCAUACGCCCUUCGGGGGAAAGAUUUAUCGGAGAAGGAUCGGCCCGCGUUGGAUUAGGUAGUUGGUGGGGUAAUGGCCCACCAAGCCGACGAUCCAUAGCUGGUUUGAGAGGAUGAUCAGCCACACUGGGACUGAGACACGGCCCAGACUCCUACGGGAGGCAGCAGUGGGGAAUCUUAGACAAUGGGGGCAACCCUGAUCUAGCCAUGCCGCGUGAGUGAUGAAGGCCUUAGGGUUGUAAAGCUCUUUCAGCUGGGAAGAUAAUGACGGUACCAGCAGAAGAAGCCCCGGCUAACUCCGUG
rnacentral:rRNA from 1 species